GCCCAUCUAGCUCAAUGGGAUAGAGCAUCAGAGAUAUAGAAAGAUAAUAUAUCAUGUGAAGAACAGUCAACUGUUCUUCACAUGAUGUGCUGUCCGCUUCUUCUGACGAUGUGAGUUCGAGUCUCACGAUGGGCG